rnacentral:pre_miRNA from 9 species
UCUCGAUAAUGUAAAAGUUAACUCAACUUUGAAUGCAGUUGGAACCUUUGCCUAUGUUUGUCGCUAGGGGCGCUGUCCCAACUGCGUACAAAUUUGAGUUAGCUUUUACGUUAUGGA